rnacentral:rRNA from 1 species
AGCGGCGGAUGGGUGAGUAACACGUGGGGAACCUGCCCCUAAGUCUGGGAUACCAUUUGGAAACAGGUGCUAAUACCGGAUAAUAAAGCAGAUCGCAUGAUCAGCUUUUGAAAGGCGGCGUAAGCUGUCGCUAAGGGAUGGCCCCGCGGUGCAUUAGCUAGUUGGUAAGGUAACGGCUUACCAAGGCGACGAUGCAUAGCCGAGUUGAGAGACUGAUCGGCCACAUUGGGACUGAGACACGGCCCAAACUCCUACGGGAGGCAGCAGUAGGGAAUCUUCCACAAUGGACGCAAGUCUGAUGGAGCAACGCCGCGUGAGUGAAGAAGGUUUUCGGAUCGUAAAGCUCUGUUGUUGGUGAAGAAGGAUAGAGGUAGUAACUGGCCUUUAUUUGACGGUAAUCAACCAGAAAGUCACGGCUAACUACGUGCCAGCAGCCGCGGUAAUACGUAGGUGGCAAGCGUUGUCCGGAUUUAUUGGGCGUAAAGCGAGCGCAGGCGGAAAAAUAAGUCUAAUGUGAAAGCCCUCGGCUUAACCGAGGAACUGCAUCGGAAACUGUUUUUCUUGAGUGCAGAAGAGGAGAGUGGAACUCCAUGUGUAGCGGUGGAAUGCGUAGAUAUAUGGAAGAACACCAGUGGCGAAGGCGGCUCUCUGGUCUGCAACUGACGCUGAGGCUCGAAAGCAUGGGCAGCGAACAGGAUUAGAUACCCUGGUAGUCCAUGCCGUAAACGAUGAGUGCUAAGUGU